UACAGGUAGUCAAGGAGAGAAUCCUAAGGCGCUCGAGUGAUCCAUGGCUAAGGAGCUAGGCAAAAUCGCCCCGUAACUUCGGGAGAAGGGGCGCCAGCAGCAAUGCUGGCCGCAGUGAAAAGGCCCAGGCGACUGUUUAUCACAAACACAUGGCUAUGCUAAAUCGAAAGAUGAUGUAUAUGGCCUGACACCUGCCCGGUGCUGGAAGGUUAAGAGGGGAUGUCAACCGCAAGGCAAAGCAUUGAAUCGAAGCCCCAGUAAACGGCGGCCGUAACAAUAACGGUCCUAAGGUAGCGAAAUUCCUUGUCGGGUAAGUUCCGACCUGCACGAAUGGUGUAACGAUCUGGGCACUGUCUCAGCCAUGAGCUCGGUGAAAUUGUAGUCUCGGUGAAGAUGCCGAGUACCCGCAAUGAGACGGAAAGACCCCGUGCACCUUUACUGCAACUUCACAUUGAUUCUGGGUAAGUGAUGUGCAGGAUAGGACGGAGACAAUGAAGCGGUUUCGCCAGGAAUCGUGGAGUCAUCCUUGAAAUACGUCCCUUUGCUUAUCUGGAACCUAACCCCGCGAAUGCGGGGGACAAUGUGUGGUGGGUAGUUUGACUGGGGUGGUCGCCUCCAAAAGAGUAACGGAGGCUUCCAAAGGUUCCCUCAAGACGAUUGGUAACCGUCUGUAGAGUGCAAUGACACAAGGGAGCUUGACUGUGAGACUGACAAGUCGAUCAGGUACGAAAGUAGGGCAUAGUGAUCCGGUGGUUCCGUAUGGAAGGGCCAUCGCUCAAAGGAUAAAAGGUACGCCGGGGAUAACAGGCUGAUCGCUCCCAAGAGCUCAUAUCGACGGAGCGGUUUGGCACCUCGAUGUCGGCUCGUCACAUCCUGGGGCUGGAGAAGGUCCCAAGGGUUGGGCUGUUCGCCCAUUAAAGUGGCACGCGAGCUGGGUUCAGAACGUCGUGAGACAGUUCGGUCCCUAUCUAUUGUGGGCGUUGGAAAUUUGAGAGGACCUGCUGCUAGUACGAGAGGACCGCGGUGGACACAUCUCUGGUGAAUCUGUUGUGGCGCCAGCUGCAUUGCAGAGUAGCUACAUGUGGACGAGAUAAGCGCUGAAAGCAUCUAAGCGCGAAGCUUACCUCAAGAUGAGAUUUCCUUUGAGGGUUGUAGUAGACUACUACGUUGAUAGGCUACAGGUGUAAAGGCAGUAAUGUC
rnacentral:rRNA from 1 species